rnacentral:piRNA from 1 species
UAACAGUAUCACCUGCUAGAGACCAUGUG